AGUGAGACACGGUCCAUACUCCUACGGGAGGCAGCAGUGGGGAAUAUUGCACAAUGGGCGAAAGCCUGAUGCAGCAACGCCGCGUGAGCGAUGAAGGCCUUCGGGUCGUAAAGCUGUGUCCUCAAGGAAGAUAAUGGCGGUUCUUGAGGAGGAASCCCCCGGCUAACUACGUGCCAGCAGCCGCGGUAAUACGUAGGGGCCUAGCGUUAUCCGGAAUUACUGGGCGUAAAGGGUGCGUAGGCGGUCUUUCAAGCCAGAAGUGAAAGSCUACGSCUCAACSGUAGUAAGCUUUUGGAACUGUAGGACUUGAGUGCAGGAGAGGAGAGUGGAAUUCCUAGUGUAGCGGUGAAAUGCGUAGAUAUUAGGAGGAACACCAGUAGCGAAGGCGUCUCUGUGGACUGUAACUGACGCUGAGGCACGAAAGCGUGGGGAGCAAACAGGAUUAGAUCCCSUGGUAGUCCACGCCGUAAACGAUGAGUACUAGGUGUCGGGGGUUACCCCCCUCGGUGCCGCAGCUAACGCAUUAAGU
rnacentral:rRNA from 1 species